UCUCUCCCUCUUCUCCCCACCCCCAAAUGAAUAAAUUUUUAAAAAAAUAAUUAUAGAGACAGUUUUAAUAUUUUAAUAAGGAUAUUUAGAAUAAAAAAUACUGUAAUUAAGAAGGAAAGCUUUGAUACAGUCCACUUAAUUGGGGAUUUUACUCGUUCGUUCAGUAAACAGUGUAUCAUAUAAUACUGUGCACCAGUACCUUUACCAUUCCAGGCGUUGUACUUGGUGCUGUGAUUCAGAGAUAAUUAAAACCAAAGUUCUUGCCUAGGAAAGGUUCAUAGUCUAACAGGAAAAACAAAGCUGUCAAUGAUCACGUCCUCCACAAUUGUAAAAACAAGUGCGUAUAGAGCAAGUCUUACCUGAUCUUCAGUUUUUCCUUUUCAGUGUAUUCCUGUAUCUUGGUGAAAAAACAAAAUAAAUAGAUCCUCAUGUUUUCUCUCUUUUCUGUGGUAAGGUAGUUUCUUACUACCACAGAAAGUCCAAUGACUUUUCUCUGAUUGUCUCCAUAGAGAAGUCUGCUUUUGGUGAGUAGGGUGACUUCUGCCCAAGAUGCUUUGAACCUCUGAACAGACCCUUCAGACCUAAAUGCGGAAAUAAGAGGAAACUUUAGGUUCAUUUUAGUCUUAUUUUGCCACAUUCCAUUCCAGUUUGUGAGCUGACAGCCAGAGAUAGCCAUAGGAGAGGGCUGUAAUAAGGAGUUUCUCUCUUUUUCUGAGAAGCUGGGUUUCUUUUACGUAUUUGUUUUGGUAGCCAAGAAGUAGCUGGGGCAGACGUCCCCCUGCCUCUAACUGGAACGAUCCCUUGACUAGGAGCCAAGCUCGAUGGCCCCUCACUGAGCAUGGGGUCAAAGCCAAGGGUAACUCACCCCUAACUUCAUGCUCUCCAUGGGCUCUGACACCUAGUAUAUUUUCUGAAGGAGCCCCGUAGGAUUGAGGUUUACCCUCUUCUGCUUUGUUUCUAAUUGGGCUUUUUUUUUUUUUUUUUUUCUAACUGGGCUUUUUCACAGCACGUGGAUUGCCUAGCUGCUCCCCACUCCCAGUUUAUCUGGCCUGUCCCUUAUGUUAGAAAAAUUGCAUACGGUUUUUAUGUGUGGAUGGUGCCCGUCCCCAUUUCCCAGCACUCAUCGCUUCCCUAUUUUAUUCCCUUGCUCAUCUCACUGGGAACUGGAGGGGAGUGGGAGCGUUGAGUGGGUGCUGACAUUGUUUGAACCAUAGCUCCCAUAAUGGUUUUUUAGACCAUUUUUUUAGACCUUUAUUUUCUCAUUAAAGGACCCAAAACCCUGACUCCAAGGGACCAGUAUUGGCAUCUGUAUCCUUUGCAAAUAAUGAACCUAGAUGUGCAGUUGAAGAUGUUUGUGUCUUCUGUUGUAAGCGAAAACAUGUUGAGUAGAUUUAUAGGCUCCAUCAGUUACAUAGUUCUGUAGAUCACAAAAUGGCUGCCAAGGAAGUGAUGCCCUGACCCAGAAUUUGUUAAGCAGAGCCUAGACGAUGGGGGAUGGUUAGAGAAAACGAACGUCGUAUACAUGGGUUUCAUCAGAUGAAUCCCAGAUUCCACUCUCUGUACGUAUCAGACAGCUCUGGCUGAGAUCUCUUCAGUGGCGUCUUUUCCAUUUGGCCCACACCUUUUUUAUUUCACAUCACUUCACUUUUUUUUUUUUAAAUGCCUUUUAGCACACUCACUGUUACGUUUCUGAUAUCAAAAUUUUAUUUUUUAUUAUUCUUACUGUCUUUAAGACAGGAGCCAAGGUGGUUGACUAUUAUUCACUCAUUUGCAAAAUACCUUUAGUUCAGAAUCAUCUUAUCUUUAUAGUUCUGUGAAGGAACAGAACUGUGCUGUUACGAACAUUUACAUUUUAAAUGUGAGCACGCAUUUAUGUGGAAAGUAAGAUUUCCAGUGGUUAUCACUUAGCCAGAGUCACAGUUAUUGACAAAAGUAGAUUAAAGCCCAGGUCUGCUGACCUCAACCUGGACUCAGUGUCAUUUCUCUCAUGGCUAGGAAAUUUCUGGGCUAUUUGAGAAACUUGGUGAUGAAUUAUUACCCCAAUUGCCACUUUGACCCAUGGACGGCAAUUUUCUGUCCUUGCCAAAGUAAAAAACACUGCUGCUACAUCUCAUAAGGGACUUUCCGUGUUUCGGGAGUGACAGAAAUUUCUGAAAGGAAAAUAUCAAGAAGCGAAAAGAGGCAACAGUGGUAUGGAUGGGAAUAAAGAUAAGGGAGAAGGGUAGAAAGGUAGAAAGGCAGUGGUGAGGUCUGAACGAAUGUGUGUCUGUGCCGAGGGUUCCAGGGUCAGUGGCCGAUGUGGGAGAAGAAGGGGGAUGAUGAGGGGACGAGGUUUAGCCAGCGUAGGUGCAAAUGUACCCUGAUUUGUAAGGGGGACAUAGAUGGACUUGCUGUGGUUGUGUUGGGGGGAGGUCAGUGGAGGAAGAGAAAUGGGAUUUAUUCUGGGAUAAUAUGAGGAGGCACUUUUCAAUGAUAGCUUAGAAAUUCUUAGAAUAACUUGGAGGAAGAGUUUUGGAUAGAAGCUGAUGGAAAGAAAUUUUUGGUUCAUGGUCUCUGAAAACAGAUGGAUUGUAGCGUAUACAGUACUUGUAGAAGUUCCCGGAACAGCUGCGCCCCAUUUGCAUCAGUAUUUAAAUGCAUCUCAAGAGGGGCGCCUGGGUGGCGCAGUCGGCUAAGCGUCCGACUUCAGCCAGGUCACGAUCUCGCGGUCUGGGAGUUCGAGCCCCACGUCGGGCUCUGGGCGGAUGGCUCAGAGCCUGGAGCCUGUUUCCGAUUCUGUGUCUCCCUCUCUCUCUGCCCCUCCCCCGUUCAUGCUCUGUCUCUCUCUGUCCCCAAAAUAAAUAAACGUUAAAAAAAUUUCUUAAACGCCUCUCAAGAGACACUAGCCUAAAGGGAAGCUAUCGUGAAUCUUCCUGUCACCAUAGGGAAUCACCCUAAUUUAUGUUUUGGAAUUCGAGCAGGGUUUUGAGUUUUACUGGUCAGUAUCACGAAUCUGUGAUCUACACAGGUUUGUGUUGAAUGCACGAUCCCCGUGUUCCAUCGUACCUGGUUCAGACUCUUCCCGGCUUACAGGAAAUCAAGUAACCUCUUUGACUUCUUUGCAGAUGUUAUCUGAAAAUAGACUUGUUUGCCAGGAAGCUGUGUAUUCAUGCUGUCAAAUAGAACUUUCAUUUGUUUGCCGUGGUACACCCUGCGUAGCACUAUGCCAUCUUCCCUCCUUACCUUUGUUCAGCACCUUCUGACUAGUGGGCGCUGCGCGAGGGUGGUUACAGGUUGACCAUGGUUCCCUGCCGCACAACACUACGUGGGAGGAAGGAAAUUUGUGUGGUUAAGGCAUGGGAGGUAUUGUGACUUCUUGUCUUUACUACUCACCAAGGGCAGUUUCCAGAUCACGUGGUGCCUUUCAGUUCUCAGCCUUUGAAGCAUGAAGUAAUAAAUACAUGUAUUUAUUUGCUUUGCUUGUUGAAGACUAGACUACUGAAAUUGGUGGUACAGGACAGAUGUAUAAGCUGAGUUUGAGUGUACAUUAAAAAUCAUGUAGUCUUAUCUCCCACACGAAGGAAGGAUACCCUUUUAGGACAUCCUGACCCUAUGGGCCCUUUGUCCGUUUAGAGUCAUUCAUUUCUUUGUAAGACACUAUAGGGAGAAAGCCCUUUAAUUGACAUCACUCUUCUCUCUUUGUAUAAUAGGAGAGAAUAUUUGCCAUGGUAAAUUUAUGAGCACUGCCUGGCGCUCUCACCGUGGCAGACAACUAACACGGGAGGUGCGCUAAGGAGGGGCGCCUGGCUGGCUCAGCCGGUGCAGCAUGCGACUCGAUCCCAGGGUCAUGAGUUCAAGCCCCACUUUGGGUGUGGAGAUGACCUAAAAAUAAAAUCUUAAAAAAAAAACAAAGUUGGGGGGAUACCUGGGUGGCUCCGUCAGUUAAGCGUCCGGCUCUUGAUUUCAGCUCAGGCAUGAUCUCACGGUUCAUGGGAUUGGACCUGUGUUGGGCUCUGCAUGACAGCACAGGGCCUGCUUGGGAUUCUCUCUCCCCCUCGCUCUCUGCUCCUCCCCUGCUUUGGCACAUGCUCGCGCGCUCUCUCUCUCUCUCUCUCUCUCUCUCUCAAAAUAAACAAAGUGUUAAAAGAAAAAAAGAAUCACUGGAAAAUAACUAUGGAUGUGUUAAUUAAGCCAGUUGUAAUCACUUCACAAUGUGUAUGUAUAUUAAAUUAUCACAUCGUACACCCUAAGUUUAUACACAUUUCAUUCGUCAGGUGUACCUUCAAAAGGCGAAGGAAAAAAAAAAAAGAAUCACUGGGUUAACAAAAGCAUGGGGAUUUUAAAGCCCAAGAAAACCUAGGUUGCAUUCUGGUUCUGCCAUCUUACAAUGGAAAAACAAUUAGUCUCAGAGGUUAAAUACUAUACUCAGGGUAAUUUGGAUGACUUUUUGCAAAUAACUUCAUUUUCUUCAUUGUAACAUAGGUGUAAUCAAUAUCUAACUCACAUGGUUCUUUUGAAGGUUAGAGAUCAAAACGCCUGGCACAUACAAAGCAGUCAGUAGUUUUUAUUGUGACGGUGAUACGUGUUCAUUCAACAAAUACAUGUUGAACACUCAACUGUUCUCACCAUAUGCCAGGCACUAUUCCAGAUGUUGGGUAAACUGGUGACGAAGACAAACGAGAUCCUUAUUGUCCUGAAGCUUCUGUUUCAGUAGGUGAGACAACGAAACAGGGAUUUCAGUUGGUUCGUGCAGUGAAGCCCACAAAGUGGGGUGAAUAUAAUAGAGAAGGUGGGGGUGGGGGAUAGCUAGUUUAGAGACAUUUCCCAGCGAAGCCAGAGACCCAGCAGGUGAUGAGAAAGAAAGCGCAGGCCGUGAAGCAACAGGGGGCUGGAGGGGAAAUCCAGCAGAGGACUAGUAAGUGGAAAGGUAGAAAAUAGCUGGCUUCUGAAAAGAGGGGCUGGUGUGGCUGGAACAAGGAGAGUAGGAGGGGACGAGGUUAGAGGCAUCGGUUUAUGUAGGACCUUGAGACCAUGAUGAGGAGUUUGAAUUUUAUUCUAAGUACAGUAUGAGGUCAGUUGAGGGUUUUAAUCAGAGGAAUGAUAUGGAUUGAUUUAUGUUUUAAAAAGACAUUUUGGGGGCGCCUGGGUGGCUUAGUUGCCUAAGCGUCCGACUCUUGAUUUUGGCUCAGGUCAUGACCUCAUCGUUUGUGGGUUCAAACCCUGCACUGGGAUCUGCGCUGAUGGCACAGAACCUGCUUGGGAUUCUGUGUCUCCCUCUCUCUGCUCCUCCCCUGCUCGUGCUCGCUCGCUCUCUCUCAAAAUAAAUAAAAAUUUUAAAAAAAUAAUAAAAUUAAAAAAAAAGACAUUUGGGCUGCUGGUUGGAAGCAAGAAAACCAGUCUACAGGCUCUAAUAGGAUUCCAUCAGCAUCUGAUGGUGGCUUGGGUUACGAUCAUGGCGUUGAAGAUGAGGAGACGUGGAAAAGUGUGACCGACAGGACUUGCAGAGAAAUUACUUGCGAAGAAUGAGGGGUUCGGGGGGACUGCUGUAAGUUUUUGCCCUGAGGAACCGGAUGGAAGGGUUGGCUGGGAUGGAAGACGGCGGGGCCUCACGCAGGAGUAGACCUUGUUCAAAGAGGAUUUGGGACUCGUCGAGUUGGAGAUGGCUAGAAGACCCACAUUUUAAAGCCCGUUUGGCCACAAGCCCUGUGUUUUUCCGAUUUAUAUUUGUUCCCUUCUUUUGUUGUUACAACUUUUUUUUCUUUCUUAUCACACAUAAACCUUGAAAAUCAGAAUCUUUGUAUCUUGAAGUUGUGACGUAAGCCUUUCCUGGCCAAACACUCGCAUUGGGAGUGUUAAAUGCAGUGCUGUGCAUUGGCCGGCCGAAGUGAGUGCAUUCAUCCCAUUUUCUGUCUUCAACAUGUAUUUUCCAACCAACACAUAAGACAGAUUUCAGAAGAACUCUGUUCCUUCUUCCAUACGGUGCUAACAUAAAGAAUUAACGAAUGGGAAAGUUCUCCCUUGGCAAAGGUUUCAAAUUCUUUUUUGAGAGGAUGUGCUCUCUUUACUAAAGAUUUUCCAGGGUUUCUCCAGACCCUCAAAUGUAAUAAUUGUGCGAUAAAUAUUUAUUUUGGAUUUUGGUUUUAUUUGGUAUCUUUCUGGAAUGCUUUUCACUUACCCAUUUCACCUUAUUUACUAUUUUUGUUCUGGAAAGUUUAGUAUCUUUGCUGUAUUAAGACUGCUUUUAUUUGGACUCACUCCUCUUCAGUUGUAAUCUUGUUUUGUUCCUUUGGAUUGGUGGGUUACAGAGGAAAAACCUACUGUUAUCAGAUCAUAUGCAGGAUAGAUGAGGAAAGAAAAUAAAACUAGGUACAGAGAAUUACAUUUUACAAGUUUUUUUUUUAAAUUUAAAUCCAAAUUAGUUAACAUAUUUACACGUUUUAAUGACCUUUCCUUCUUCCUUCCUAAAAGCCAGCUAACCCACUUUUCCGUAUUACAACCUUGGCAAAUGUAAAAUUUCCUAACUUUGAUUUCUUUUGUAUCAGUUAUGUGUUGCUGCAUAACAAAUUACCCCCAAGUCCCAAGCUUAAUACAAGCAGCAUUUAUUACUUCACACAGUUUCUGAGAAUAGGAACCUGGAAAUGGCUUGGCUGGGUGGCCUUGGCUCCAGCUUCGGCCUCUGCUGAGGUGGGAGUCCAGCUGUUAGGCAGGGCUGCAGCCGUCUGGUUUGACUGGGGUUGGAUAGUUCUCAGGUAGUUCACUUACAGGGCCUUCGGCAGGAGUCCCAGCUGUCUUUCCUUAUCACUCGGGCCUCCCACCGGGCUGCCUGAGCAUCCCCAUGUCAGGGCAGCUGGCUUUCCCAGAAAGAGUAACUGAGAGGGAGGCGUGAUGGAGGGCAUAACAUUAUUGACUUAGGAUCGUCUUUAAAGUGUCGAUGCUGAAAGUCCUUUCUCAGAUAAGAAAUGCUCGUAUCCCAUAUUUCAGAUUUAUAUCCUGCUGUUCUGUUUCGGUGUCUUUGUGUGUGCAGAAUAGUUUCAUUUUAAAGCCAAGUCAUAACAUUAAAUUCAGAUGUCUUUUGGAGACGUUCUCAAUGGCCAACACUCGUCUUAUUGUAACAGUGCCCCUAACUCAGUUGAAGUGCCAGCCGUAUGAGCGUUUCUGACCACGUGUUUGACAAGCCAGCACUGAGAACUGCAUCAUGAGUGCUGUCUAGCAGACAUCUGUUUAGAAGGUGCAUCCUGAUUCCAGAGGUGUUAGAAUGCAGAAAAAAGUUUUCUAAGAAUUGAAGAAACAGGGCAAACAGUUUUCUCCUCCAGUCAUGGGAAGUACAGUAGAUCAAAGUCUUCUGGGGAUGAGUUUCUUUCCUCUUGGUUUUACAAAGCCUGGAGCUCACAGAUGCCUAGUCUGAUGGGGAAGGACACACGAACGGGCAGUUUGCAACUGGAAUGAAUGUGCAAGUUAUUUCCACGAUACUUUUUUCUUUUAAUUUGGUUUCAGAAACAUAAACAAGGAAAACCUCUCACCGUAACUUAACUUUUUUUUUCUUUCCGUCUUCCUUUUCUUUCUUCCUUCCUUCCUUUUUUUUUUUU